GACGGGGCGGAUUCUUUCUAACUUGUGCAACGUUGUUCCAGGAGGUGUGGUGUGUUUCUUCCCUUCCUAUGACUAUGAAAAACAGGUAUACUUGCACUGGGAAAAGACCGGAUUGCUUGCCCGGCUGGCGACUAAGAAAAAGAUAUUUCAGGAACCCAAGAAGGCUAACCAGGUGGAGCAGGUCUUGGCAGAAUACGCCAAGUGUAUCAAGCGCUGCAACCUAACAGAUGGACCCAUGACAGGAG